GAACGGAGAAUUGCUAGCUUGCUAAUAAUUCUCUAGUGGCGCACGGGUGAGUAACACGUGAGUACCUGCCCCCAAGAGUGGGAUAGCCCCGGGAAACUGGGAUUAAUACCGCAUAAAGCAAUAAAGCAGCAAUGCGCUUGGGGAUGGGCUCGCGUCCUAUUAGUUAGUUGGUGAGGUAACGGCUCACCAAGGCGAUGACGGGUAGCCGGUCUGAGAGGAUGUCCGGCCACACUGGAACUGAGACACGGUCCAGACACCUACGGGUGGCAGCAGUCGAGAAUCAUUCACAAUGGGGGAAACCCUGAUGGUGCGACGCCGCGUGGGGGAUAAGGUCUUCGGAUUGUAAACCCCUGUCAUGUGGGACAUUAAAAGAUAGUACCACAAGAGGAAGAGACGGCUAACUCUGUGCCAGCAGCCGCGGUAAUACAGAGGUCUCAAGCGUUGUUCGGAAUCACUGGGCGUAAAGCGUGCGUAGGCGGUUUCGUAAGUCGUGUGUGAAAGGCGGGGGCUCAACCCCCGGACUGCACAUGAUACUGCGAGACUAGAGUAAUGGAGGGGGAACCGGAAUUCUCGGUGUAGCAGUGAAAUGCGUAGAUAUCGAGAGGAACACUCGUGGCGAAGGCGGGUUCCUGGACAUUAACUGACGCUGAGGCACGAAGGCCAGGGGAGCGAAAG
rnacentral:rRNA from 1 species